rnacentral:lncRNA from 1 species
CAGUUCUCUGAUUUGUUCUGAGUUCUCGUCUAGCCUGUCAACUCAUAAGCCAGUGACAAGUAUAUACCCUUACCUCAGGCCAUGUCUCCUAAAGUUAUUCCCUAUGGAAAGAUUCCCUUUACUGUUAUGUGUUGGGGCCACUGAUGAGUGGUGGUUUUACUGACCAUUCACAUCCAGCUGUGGCCAGCUCACUGCAGAUUCUUUCAAGAAUGAAUAGGACCCACACUUUUUUUCUCUUCCAUUAAUU